rnacentral:Y_RNA from 1 species
GGCUGGUCCAAGUGCAGUGGUGUUUACAAGUAAUGGAUCACACAGUCAAUUACAGAUUUCUUUGUUCCUUCUCCACUCGCACUGCUUCACUUGACUAGGCUUAA